rnacentral:rRNA from 1 species
CGGACGGGUGAGUAACGCGUGAGAAUCUGCCUUCAGGUCUGGGACAACCACUGGAAACGGUGGCUAAUACCGGAUGUGCCGCAAGGUGAAAGGUUAACUGCCUGAAGAUGAGCUCGCGUCUGAUUAGCUAGUUGGCAGUGUAAGAGACUACCAAGGCGACGAUCAGUAGCUGGUCUGAGAGGACGAUCAGCCACACUGGGACUGAGACACGGCCCAGACUCCUACGGGAGGCAGCAGUGGGGAAUUUUCCGCAAUGGGCGAAAGCCUGACGGAGCAAUACCGCGUGAGGGAGGAAGGCUCUUGGGUCGUAAACCUCUUUUCUCAGGGAAGAACACAAUGACGGUACCUGAGGAAUAAGCAUCGGCUAACUCCGUGCCAGCAGCCGCGGUAAUACGGAGGAUGCAAGCGUUAUCCGGAAUGAUUGGGCGUAAAGCGUCCGCAGGUGGCGAUGUAAGUCUGCUGUUAAAGCGUCUAGCUCAACUAGAUAAAAGCAGUGGAAACUACAUAGCUAGAGUACGUUCGGGGCAGAGGGAAUUCCUGGUGUAGCGGUGAAGUGCGUAGAGAUCAGGAAGAACACCGGUGGCGAAGGCGCUCUGCUAGGCCGUAACUGACACUGAGAGACGAAAGCUAGGGGAGCGAAUGGGAUUAGAUACCCCAGUAGUC